CCUACGGGGGGCAGCAGUAGGGAAUAUUGCACAAUGGAGGAAACUCUGAUGCAGCGACGCCGCGUGAGUGAUGAAGGCCUUCGGGUCGUAAAGCUCUGUCGUAUGGGAUCAGGUACCAUGCAAGAAAGGAUCGGCUAACUUCGUGCCAGCAGCCGCGGUAAGACGAGGGAUCCUAGCGUUGUUCGGAAUUAUUGGGCGUAAAGCGGGUGUAGGUGGACUUAUAAGUCAGGUGUGAAAUCCCAGGGCUCAACCCUGGAAGUGCACUUGAUACUGCAAGUCUUGAAUGUGGUAGAGGCAGAAUUCCUGGUGUAGUGGUGAAAUACGUAGAUAUCAGGAGGAAUACCGGAGGCGAAGGCGGAUAGCUGGGCCAAAUGACACUGAGACCCGAAAGCGUGGGGAUCAAACAGGAUUAGAUACCCUUGUAGUC
rnacentral:rRNA from 1 species